AUCAUGACCUGAGCUGAAGGCAGAGGCUUAACCCACUGAGCCACCCAGGUGCCCCUCAGCUCAUUUUUUAAGGACAAUUUUAGCCCUCCUGUCCUUUACAGCAAAUAAGAAAAAUAGUUAUUAGUUAUUGUCUAACCAUUAGAAUAAGCACAAUAGAGACAGGAAGCUGUUCAACACUGUGUCCUCAUUUUCUGACAUAUAGCUGACACUCAAAUAUUUUUGACAGGCUCUGCCUCACCUUUUCAGUGUCCAGGUGGGUGGCAGUACCAGGGGGGCGAGGCUCUUAGUUCUCACAGACUGCCUGGCUGACUGUGGUUUUGAUCAUUAGUGCUCAUGGCUCUGCCUUUAAUCAGCAGUGCUGAACACAGGCCCCAGGUCCUUGCCAGAGAGUAGGCCUUUGAACGGUCUGCUGCUGACCUUUAUUGAAAGCUCUUGACAGAAAUACUGAAGGACGAGUGUUUAAAGGACCUGUGGUCAAUGCAUUCCUGACUGCGACUGUUUCAUGGAUUGAAAGCUCUGAAGUCAUUCCCUAGAAAAAUACACUUAAAGAAACAUACAGAAAAUGGUGUCUAUAAUACUACUCUCUGAAGCACAUAUUUGACCCUAGAAAGUCCAGCCCUUGAUGACAAAUAGGCUUCAGUUUUGUCAGUUCUAAUAAAUGCGUAGUGAUAGCCAAGAGCACUUGUUUCAAAAACCUCAGCCCACUUGGGUCUUAGCAGAAAAGACUUGGAUGACCUAGCUGUGCACACACGAUGUGUGGUGAGGCAAGCACUGGGGCCAGUAAUGAGCUAUGCUUGUGGUGGCCUUUUUCUGGCAACAAAAGGAUAUGGGCAGCAAGCUGUGGAUGUUGACCACAGGCUUUCCCAUUUCUCCAGCAAACUGCUUCCACUGAGUUGGAUUUGGGCGUUAUGCCCUCAUCAUAUAUUAAAGGGGAAUAAAACCCCUCAAAACUAAAGUUUCCUGUGAGGCCCUGCUUAAAACUAAACUUUUGUUGUCAGCAUGUCAUAAAAACAUACUGGCCACUAUACGUCAGAUAAGAAGUCCUUGUCAAACUGAGGUGUCAGGAAAAUCUUUGAUUCACUGGAGAAUGCUAUCUUUCACGACCAUGAAUAUAGACCAGUGACAUAAUAGUUCCUUUUUGCUUCAGCUUUUAGAAAUAUCAGCCCAAUGUCAGUCAUCAUCCAUGGGCCUAAAUUCAGCAACAAUAAUAGUAUUUUUUACUGAUCUAUCUAGAUCUAUCCAUCUCUCUCCGUGGAUCUAACUAUCCUUAUAGGCCACUUCAAAUCAUUGGUGGAACAAAAGAGGAUAUUUAAAAACAAAUAAUGUGAAAAAUAAGCAGCACUCCUCUUUUAGCUUCAGAUCAUUAAUUUUACAGUGUUCAGACCAAAGAAUAGUAAACACAUGUGAUUAAUAGAUUAUUAUAUCCCUCUAAGUAACAAGUAUACAGUUAGGAUCUUCUUUCUGUCUCCUGUUCCCUCCAGUAUGACUGAAGUUUUUUUCUAGAGACAGACUCUAGUGUGAGGCCCUGACAAUUUUUUUUCUUUUUUUAAUAAUGCAUGUGCCUGACUUUAGUUGCCAAGGAAUCAAAGAUGGCAAUCUCCAAUUAUCACGUGGUCAGCCACAGAGAUAGAGCCAGGCCACCUCACCCCGUUGAGGCUCCUUUGUUGAGAGAUCUUGACUUCAAUAACUGACCCUUUGCCUUUCUCUUCCCAUGUUUGUAAAAUCCCCCACUAAAGAGUGAGCCCAUGAAACACGAGGCCCCCACUUUUCACCCCAGUAAAAGCAGAACCUCUAGCCCGUGCAUGCUUUCACUCUAAUUUCCAAGUCUUGUAAGUAAUAACCCUCUGUUUUCCGAAAGUGUCCUGAUGAUUGUUGCCAAAGGGCAUCUUGCAAUCAUAAGAACCAGAAGGGCCAGUCCAACUACAAGACUAGUUAUCGAUAGGCCGGGAUUUGCACAAAACAAUGGAUGUAGCAGUCAGCAGGAUUGCGGGUUGCUCUUGAAAUUAACUAAGGGGAAUGCCCUUUACCUGUAAUUUGCUUACCUGCUGCCUAACUCAGGGUAACCCCAUAUGGGAAGUGAGCAUGUUUGCUGGGGGUCUGUGGCACUGCUAUGUACUCUGAUGUAUUGCCCCUGCAAUAUGUGACCUGCAGUAUCCAACCCAAAGAAUCAUGAUAUGAUCAUGAACAGUUUCCCCCAAGAAGUGUGAUCAAGGUCAUAUGGUCUGAAGAGAUAUACUGACUAACAUGAGAAAGGGUCUACCCCACCUUAAGGCCAAAGAGAGCUAAGAAGGACAGAUUGGAUUGCAAGCCCAUUAUUGCAGUAAGAAACCAAUGACACCACCAGAGGGAAAGCACAACAGAGGCCAUGGUUUCUGGGUCACCACUUCACUCACUGCUGUCACUCUUCAUCCCUUGAUCCAAUAGAAUAUUAGGGGUCCAAUUACCAGUGUCCUAAGUUAGAAAAAUUGGAGAACUAUAAAUGUUGUGGACAUCUAGUCCUAAGGAUCCUGAGGAGGUCUAGCAGCUGCUCAGUAAAUGCAAAGCCUCAGGGAUGCUUCCUGGGUAUUUUUCAAUGUCAGGCACACCAGCAUGCUAAGACCCUGCCAUUAAACUCUAGCGGCCCAGUGGCUUUCUCAUUACUGGCAGAGGCAGAGCCCAAUCCCAGAGGGGUUCUCCUGGGACCUGGGAAAGAAAAGCAGCUACCUGUGAAGAGGCCUUGUAGUGAUGUCAUCUAAAAGUUUCCAGUAACAACACCCCAGAUUAAGCAUUAAUGGAGUUAUUGUGUGGCUAAACCUUGCUCUGAGUCCAGCUUCAGUCUAAAGGAAGAAAAGAACCUGGAUUCCUAGACUGAAAGAUUUUAAAGGAGGAAGGCUGACAUAAUGGAGUCUACCCAGCAUAUUAUCCAAUUUUUCCUUUUUAAAAUGUGUUACGUAGAAAAUUUUUUCUUUAAGACUUUAAUACUAGGAAAGCUAUACAACUCUCCUCGUGAACUUUUUGCCAUGGCUUUUAGCCACUUAAUAUGUAGUCACAGCUUCCUUUAUCCUUUCAGUGAGUGUACUUGUAUUCUCGUAUUUUCUUUGUACCCAGUUUAUUUCAGUGUUAUUGCCUUCUUUGUUUCUUGUCAUAACCUAACUCAAAAAAAUGUCUUGAAAGAGUCAGGCAGAAGUUAAUCAAUACAUUUAUUUUUGAAAAAUGUACCGGUUUAAUUGUUCUCCGUCCUAUGACAGAGUAUGUUCUGACUCACGUGGAAUGACAAGAGGCUAUUAGAAUUAUAAGGCUCUGGAGAGCAUCUGGUUCCAACACCCAUUUUAGGUAGGACAGAGAGGAUGGUAGAGGUCAUCUGACAUUGUUAAGGCUGUACAGGUAGGGACAAAACAGGAAAAGCCUAGCACCGCAUGUGGUUUUCAUUUAUCAAAUUAUUUUUUAAAAUUAUUUUGCUUUUUAUGCUUAAUAGAAAAGGUGAAAAAAUAGGGACAAAUGUUCAUGUGUAUGUACAGAUUUGUGAAAGUGUGUAUUUUGUAAAACUCGUGAGUUUUUUUUUUUUUUUUUUUUACCUUUUGGCAUUUAUCUCUAUGUGAUUGUGCUGAGGUUUCUGAUCUUGUACCUCUACCAUCUUUCAAAAGCUUUUUACAAAUUUUAAAUCUAAUCUAGAAAUGUAAAAUUACAAGUCAUGCUUUGGAAGUUGUAUUUAUUUAUUUGGGAAGUUAGAUUUAAAUUCCUCUCUUUGGUAAUCUCUGAGGUAGUCUGUAUAUAAAAAUAUCAUCCUACUUGGUACUUAUUUGGGUGUUGGCUUUGUUCUUAAAUCACACACAGAUUACUCCUUUUCUAGAUUAAAUAUCUGCACCGGGAAGAUUCUUGCUCAAUUUUAGGACUGGAAGGGAAAGUUGGGGUUGAGUCUGGAGCUUCCGAUGAUGGAGCCCUGACUUCCUGUCCCUGUGGAGCCCCAGCUUCCCUGAUAAGGCUGGAGCAGACUGUAAACAACACAGCUGGGCAGGCUUCCACUAUUUCAGACUGGAUCAAGUGAAUAUCACCCCUAGCAAUGGCGAUACUAAGGUUUCUCACUAAGCUAUUUGCUUCUGUAUUCACCGAGAUGAGAAAAGGAAUUUGUCCAACUCUUCUCUGGCUCUGAAUGCUUGGCACAGAAGCCACACAGCCAUCAUGUUCACAUGUCCUUGGCCAAAUCAACUCAUAUGGCCACAGCUAACUCAGGGCAGUUAGGGGAGUAAAAUACUUUAUGUACUGGAAAGGGGAGACUAGAAUUUGAUCAAGAGUACACCACUGAUGAUCGCACUCUGAAAUUCUCACCAUUGGUGGUUUGAGGAUGACAGUGUCCUCCGUCCUCACAGAGUACAGCUGUGCCUUAUCAUGGAGCACGCAGGGCAGAUCUGGAGACGGAAGAAGGUGAUGGGUUUGACUGGGGGCUCCAGUGUCUGAGACCCAGACGGCUGAGCCAUGAGACUAUAAUCCAGGAAUAAAACAGAAACCAAGAGUGGGGUAUUCAGUGCUACUGAGUUAUCAAUGUGAAAGGACCAGGCAGAGAGAGAGACACACACAAACACUGGGCAAACUGGAUGAGAUCACCACCUAACCCACCUGCUUUCCUGUGCUCCACAAUUACUUCUUGUGCACUAAUAAGCAGUACAAUUCUAGGGUUUAGAGACUUAGCAGUGAAUAAGACAACCAGAGGGAAAAUGACAGAAAAGACAUCUGAGGUAUGGGGAGACAGUGAUGACCCCAUCCAAAGUCAAGUGUGUGCCCUCUACAUGGCACUGGGCAUUUUAUCCACACAUCUCAUUUGAUAUAUGCAGGAACUUGGGUGAGUAUUGCUGUUGUUACCAAUGUGAUAACAGUUCCAGAGCGGGUAAAGUGACUUGCCUAUGGUCACGUAAUUAGUUCAGGUCUUGGUUCUCUGACUCCAGAGGCCCUUUUCACUUUACUUUUAGACUGUGACAUGGUCAUUCCCAACAGAACACAAAUAUCAGAAUUAAAAGCUUCCUGAAUUUAAAUCUUUACUUUCUACCAAUGGCAUUUUGCACCCACGUCCAAUUUAGAGCUGGCAAUUACAAAUGAACACAACUAUAUAUAGAACAUUAAUAUUCAUUCAUUCAUGCAUGCAGGCGUCCAUUCAUUCAUUCGCUUAUACAUAUAGGAUAGUCCUUGGAUUCUUUACAUGACCACUAAAACUCUUCAAACUGACAUUUUCAGUUACCAAGGAAAUCAGGAGUAUUUUUAGAAAACUGUUACUUUGAUUUGAAACAAUCUCUUGCUAUGAUUCAAGCAGUCCCAUCCCUAAAAUAGCCCAAUACAGGCAGCCACAAGAUGAGUAACUCCGAAUCUGCUUCCUUGUUGUGGGAAGUGAGUCUUAGUGUCAAGAGAGUGCUUGCUCGUCCAGACUUUCUGCAGUGACAAGGUUAGGUCAAAACUCAUUGUCAGGGGGCUCCUGGGUGGCUCAGUGCGUUAAAGCCUCUGCCUU